GACGAACGCUGGCGGCGUGCUUAACACAUGCAAGUCGAGCGGUAAGGCCCUUUCGGGGGUACACGAGCGGCGAACGGGUGAGUAACACGUGGGUGACCUGCCCUCAGCUCUGGGAUAAGCCUGGGAAACCGGGUCUAAUACUGGAUAUGACUCCAUGACGCAUGUUGUGGGGUGGAAAGCCUUGUGCGGCUGAGGAUGGGGCCCGCGGCCUACCAGCUUGUUGGUGGGGUGAUGGCCUACCAAGGCGACGACGGGUAGCCGGCCUGAGAGGGCGACCGGCCACACUGGGACUGAGACACGGCCCAGACUCCUACGGGAGGCAGCAGGUGGGGAAUCUUGCGCAAUGGGCGAAAGCCUGACGCAGCGACGCCGCGUGAGGG
rnacentral:rRNA from 1 species